UUGGAGGGCAAGUCUGGUGCCAGCAGCCGCGGUAAUUCCAGCUCCAAUAGCGUAUAUUAAAGUUGUUGCAGUUAAAAAGCUCGUAGUUGGAUUUCGGGGUUCUACCGUUGGUCGGGCUUUGUCUGUACUGGCGUGUAGAAUUUCUACCUUCUGGGGAACCACCAUGUUAUUAAUUUAGCGUGGUGGGAAACCAGGACCUUUACCUUGAAAAAAUUAGAGUGUUCAAAGCAGGCUUAUGUCUGAAUACAUUAGCAUGGAAUAAUAGAAUAGGACGGUGGUCCUGUUUUGUUGGUUUCUGAAUCACCGUAAUGAUUAAUAGGGAUAGUUGGGGGCAUUAGUAUUCAAUUGUCAGAGGUGAAAUUCUUGGAUCUAUUGAAGACUAACUAUUGCGAAAGCAUUUGCCAAGGAUGUUUUCAUUAAUCAAGAACGAAAGUUAGGGGAUCGAAGACGAUCAGAUACCGUCGUAGUCUUAACCAUAAACUAUGCCGACUAGGGAUCGGACGAAGUUAAUUUUAUAAUGACGCGUUCGGCGCCUUACGGGAAAC
rnacentral:rRNA from 1 species